CUAAAACAAAAACUUCAGCCAUCUUUGGACCCUUUUUAGCAGAGCUCUUCCAAUGGAGAAUCCAGCAAAAAUUUGAACAUAUACAAAGCUGCAGAACACCAAAAAUGACCCUCCCAUCUCCAUCUCCCAAGAUCCAACAUCCACCCUGCCCAAAAACCUAUUGUUGUCGGCGCCCCACCACUCCUUCACUCUAGAGCCAACGAAAAAUCAACCAUACCCACAAAUAGAAAUGGGAGGAGAUUGAAAACAGAGACAACACAUGAAAAAUAGAAGCUAAAAAUGAAUGAGUAAGAGAGAUUAAAAUCACCGCUGCUGGCCACCGUUGUUCGCCGGAACUGUGUGGUUUCAAUUGGAAAACUUUUGUUCUACUUAAUCUGACUAAAGAAAGGAAAGGAAAAGAAGACCUCGACUCUGCUCUAUUUUCCAAAAACGAAGCAUAAAUUCUGUUUUGUGGUCUGAGUUUUGAAAGAAUACGGGCUGGCUCGAGUUUGUCACCAUUUGAGAGUCAAGGUUGCCGGAUUUUCGGUUGAUGGUCUUGUCCGUGGUCUGUCCGGGCAUUAGGAAUCGUUCUCAUUUAGCUAAGGUGUUGGACGUUGAUGUUGUUGCGUACGGCAGGAGCUGGAUCUGAAGAUGUAUCUGCAUUCCAGUUAUUAAUAUCACUUGUCCUUGGUAGCAUUAGAUUCGAGUUCUGUUCAUUUACAUUUCAAACAGAUGUUGUAAUUAUUUUAAUUCAGUCUUGUAAAAAUCCAAAAUCUGAUUAGCACUACCAGUCAUUAGGAAUUCUUUUGUAUAAUAGUUCAGUUGUAUUACUAUU